UGUCAUAUAGCGCUCGGUCGAGCCACUGUGCUUGAGGUAUUCCUCGGAGGAAACGAGAUUGACUUCCUUAUUACCUGUUUGUUCCGCUAUAACACCCAACAAAGAUGAAGUUUGUUGCUGUGCUGCUCAUGGCAAUCUUCUUGACCAUCUUAAGCUCCGCAGCAGGGAAGAAGGCACUGUCUUCAAGAUCAAGGAACACCGGCAUUCGGAUGAAGAGGGCGACGUGCGUCGGCUGUGGAGGAGGGAAUUUGGCAGCCACCCUCGCGACCCUCUUCGACGGUUCGAAACCAAAAGCUCCGAGUCAAAUGACUGGCCCUCAAGGCUUCGGCCGAAGGAAGAGAAGGUCUCUCCCUCAAGAGAGAAAUCUUCUGGCACUGGUAGCUGGAAGACGGGUGGCAGGUUGAUAAGCAGAAACACAGUGGGCAACUUUGCUCUGGUGAUCACUCCAAUCCCUACACCUCCGCACUCGAAAGAUAAAAAUAAAAACAUUGAUAAGGG